rnacentral:ncRNA from 1 species
UUGUGUUUAUGGGAUGCAGGUGCUUCCUUCGGGAAGCUGAAAAGGGAAUCCGGUUUAAAGCCGGAGCUGUCCCCGCAACUGUAAAUGUGGACGAAACGGUGUCACCACUGCCCAGUCGGGUCCCUUGGGGGCUGUCUGUGCGGGAAGGACCGGAGUAGGGUGAAGCAUGAGCCAGUAGACCUGCCUGCAGUUUUCCCAAUGU